GUUAACUUUCAACGAUACGUUCGCGCAAAGCAAAGACACUCAAGACGCAAGAUGUCACCAAACAAACAACAGAUGCAGACCACAGAAAGAAAACGUGGUAGACCGGCCGGGAAGAAUAGAAUUCCGCUGACACAUAAUGAACGGCGUUCUCGUAACGCUUUUUUGGAGCGAGAACGGCGAGCUUCUACGGCAAAGGCCAUAGUCGAGCUGGCUGAGGCGAUGGAGUGCGACCCCAAUAUUUCUAGAGCGGACCUUUUGGCUAAGGCCAUUAAAUACAUACGGAGGAUGUCGAAAGGUCCGAUGGAAACAAUCAGCCAGCUGACUGGUAUAAAUAAGAAUCUUGAGUUCCAAAUAUCUAAAUUGAAGACGGAACUCAAGGAUCGUGGUGUAUGCCGUAAAAAGCAAAGUCGCGGAAAGUUCUAAUGCGAGUCUUCGGCCGAAGAAGAAAAGAAAGGGGAAGGGGAAAGGAGAAUAGAACCGGAGAGAAUGUUCAGACUCUGACUUCGGAGUUAUGGACAUAGGAUCGGACGACGAAGAUCUCCGAUCGAAAAGCCUGAGUGAUUUGCAGAGAGAAUAUUUGGGCGACGUUGUGUCUUUAAUAAAGGACUAAAGUCCUUUAUUAGACGACACUCGAGCCAAUAUUCUCUCGACUUGGGUUUUUCGAUGCGCUUUCGUCGUCCGACGCUCCGAUUUCCGGUGUCCGACCUAACUCCAAGACUAAAGGUACUCUGACCUGACCCUGACCCAUUAGUUAAGUACAACUAGAUUAGGUAUCUAUGGCUGUUUCAAUUUAUAUAAUUUGAAGGGAACUAUUCAAUAGUUGAAAAUGUAUGUAUUUAUACAAAGAAACAAUUAUUUUAUGAUUUAUGAAUUUAUUUAUUAUUUCACAAUUGUCAAUUAAACCAUCAACUAUUAUAUUAGAGAAUACUAUUAUUAUUAUUAAUACUUAUUUAUUAUAACUUAUUUGUAUUAAAGUAAAAAUAAAUGUACAAAAUGAAUUAUGUCUUUAUGUACCUGAUUAAUACAAUAAAGGUCUCUU